ACUCUAGUAUUAACCUCAAUCCAUCUGUAUUGAGGUGGAUUGAGGUGUAACUUAAACUAAUUUACAUUUCAAUCCACCUCAACACGCGUGGAUUGAGUUUAAUACUAGA
rnacentral:pre_miRNA from 1 species